rnacentral:rRNA from 1 species
AUUGAACGCUGGCGGCAGGCCUAACACAUGCAAGUCGAGCGGUAGAGAGGUGCUUGCAUCUCUUGAGAGCGGCGGACGGGUGAGUAAUGCCUAGGAAUCUGCCUAGUGGUGGGGGAUAACGUUCGGAAACGGACGCUAAUACCGCAUACGUCCUACGGGAGAAAGCGGGGGAUCUUCGGACCUCGCGCCAUUAGAUGAGCCUAGGUCGGAUUAGCUAGUUGGUGAGGUAAUGGCUCACCAAGGCGACGAUCCGUAACUGGUCUGAGAGGAUGAUCAGUCACACUGGAACUGAGACACGGUCCAGACUCCUACGGGAGGCAGCAGUGGGGAAUAUUGGACAAUGGCGCAAGCCUGAUCAGCCAUGCCGCGUGUGUGAAGAAGG